rnacentral:rRNA from 1 species
UUGAAGAGUUUGAUCAUGGCUCAGAUUGAACGCUGGCGGCAGGCCUAACACAUGCAAGUCGAGCGGUAGCACAGAGAGCUUGCUCUCGGGUGACGAGCGGCGGACGGGUGAGUAAUGUCUGGGAAACUGCCUGAUGGAGGGGGAUAACUACUGGAAACGGUAGCUAAUACCGCAUAACGUCGCAAGACCAAAGUGGGGGACCUUCGGGCCUCAUGCCAUCAGAUGUGCCCAGAUGGGAUUAGCUAGUAGGUGGGGUAAUGGCUCACCUAGGCGACGAUCCCUAGCUGGUCUGAGAGGAUGACCAGCCACACUGGAACUGAGACACGGUCCAGACUCCUACGGGAGGCAGCAGUGGGGAAUAUUGCACAAUGGGCGCAAGCCUGAUGCAGCCAUGCCGCGUGUAUGAAGAAGGCCUUCGGGUUGUAAAGUACUUUCAGCGAGGAGGAAGGCGUUAAGGUUAAUAACCUUGGCGAUUGACGUUACUCGCAGAAGAAGCACCGGCUAACUCCGUGCCAGCAGCCGCGGUAAUACGGAGGGUGCAAGCGUUAAUCGGAAUUACUGGGCGUAAAGCGCACGCAGGCGGUCUGUCAAGUCGGAUGUGAAAUCCCCGGGCUCAACCUGGGAACUGCAUUCGAAACUGGCAGGCUAGAGUCUUGUAGAGGGGGGUAGAAUUCCAGGUGUAGCGGUGAAAUGCGUAGAGAUCUGGAGGAAUACCGGUGGCGAAGGCGGCCCCCUGGACAAAGACUGACGCUCAGGUGCGAAAGCGUGGGGAGCAAACAGGAUUAGAUACCCUGGUAGUCCACGCCGUAAACGAUGUCGACUUGGAGGUUGUGCCCUUGAGGCGUGGCUUCCGGAGCUAACGCGUUAAGUCGACCGCCUGGGGAGUACGGCCGCAAGGUUAAAACUCAAAUGAAUUGACGGGGGCCCGCACAAGCGGUGGAGCAUGUGGUUUAAUUCGAUGCAACGCGAAGAACCUUACCUACUCUUGACAUCCAGAGAACUUAGCAGAGAUGCUUCGGUGCCUUCGGGAACUCUGAGACAGGUGCUGCAUGGCUGUCGUCAGCUCGUGUUGUGAAAUGUUGGGUUAAGUCCCGCAACGAGCGCAACCCUUAUCCUUUGUUGCCAGCGAUUCGGUCGGGAACUCAAAGGAGACUGCCAGUGAUAAACUGGAGGAAGGUGGGGAUGACGUCAAGUCAUCAUGGCCCUUACGAGUAGGGCUACACACGUGCUACAAUGGCAUAUACAAAGAGAAGCGACCUCGCGAGAGCAAGCGGACCUCAUAAAGUAUGUCGUAGUCCGGAUUGGAGUCUGCAACUCGACUCCAUGAAGUCGGAAUCGCUAGUAAUCGUAGAUCAGAAUGCUACGGUGAAUACGUUCCCGGGCCUUGUACACACCGCCCGUCACACCAUGGGAGUGGGUUGCAAAAGAAGUAGGUAGCUUAACCUUCGGGAGGGCGCUUACCACUUUGUGAUUCAUGACUGGGGUGAAGUCGUAACAAGGUAACCGUAGGGGAACCUGCGGUUGGAUCACCUCCUU